rnacentral:rRNA from 1 species
CCUACGGGUGGCAGCAGUAGGGAAUUUUCGUCAAUGGGCGCAAGCCUGAACGAGCGAUGCCGCGUGAGUGAAGAAGGCCUUCGGGUCGUAAAGCUCUGUUUCGGGGGAAAAAAGGCAGCAUCCGGAAAUGGGUGCUGACUGAUGGUGCCCCGCCAGAAAGUCACGGCUAACUACGUGCCAGCAGCCUCGGUCAUACGUAGGUGGCGAACGUUAUCCGUAAGGAUUGGGCGUAAGGGGUGCGCAGGCGGUCCUGCAAGUCUGGAGUGAAACGCAUGGGCUCAACUCAUGCAUGGCUUUGGAAACUGGCGGACUGGAGAGCAGGAGAGGGCGGUGGAACUCGAUGUGUAGCGGUAAAAUGCGUAGAUAUCUGGAAGAACACCAGUGGCGAAGGCGGCCGCCUGGCCUGUUGCUGACGCUGAGGCACGAAAGCGUGGGGAGCAAAUAGGAUUAGAUACCCGUGUAGUC